rnacentral:rRNA from 1 species
GACGAACGCUGGCGGCGUGCUUAACACAUGCAAGUCGAACGGAAAGGCCCUGCUUGCCGGGUACUCGAGUGGCGAACGGGUGAGUAACACGUGGGUGAUCUGCCCUGCACUUCGGGAUAAGCCUGGGAAACUGGGUCUAAUACCGGAUAGGAGCCAUUUUUAGUGUGAUGGUUGGAAAGUUUUUUCGGUGUAGGAUGAGCUCGCGGCCUAUCAGCUUGUUGGUGGGGUAAUGGCCUACCAAGGCGGCGACGGGUAGCCGGCCUGAGAGGGUGGACGGCCACAUUGGGACUGAGAUACGGCCCAGACUCCUACGGGAGGCAGCAGUGGGGAAUAUUGCACAAUGGGCGCAAGCCUGAUGCAGCGACGCCGCGUGGGGGAUGACGGCCUUCGGGUUGUAAACUCCUUUCGCUAGGGACGAAGCUUUUUGUGACGAUACCUAGAUAAGAAGCACCGGCUAACUACGUG